rnacentral:rRNA from 1 species
AGCAGCCGCGGUAAUUCCAGCUCCAAUAGCGUAUAUUAAAGUUGUUGCAGUUAAAAAGCUCGUAGUUGAAUUUCGGGAUCAAAGGAUCGGUCAUGCCUUGGUAUGUACUGGUUUUAUUGGUUCUCACCUUCUAAAGAACCAUAAUGUCAUUCAUUUGAUGUUAUGGGGAAUUAGGACUGUUACCUUGAAAAAUUAGAGUGUUUAAAGCAGGCUUACGCUUGAAUACAUUAGCAUGGAAUAAUGAAAUAGGACAUCAGAUUCUAUUUUGUUGGUUUCUAGGAUCGAUGUAAUGAUUAAUAGGGAUAGUUGGGGGCAUUAGUAUUCAAUUGUCAGAGGUGAAAUUCUUGGAUUUAUUGAAGACUAACUACUGCGAAAGCAUUUGCCAAGGAUGUUUUCAUUAAUCAAGAACGAAAGUUAGGGGAUCGAAGACGAUCAGAUACCGUCGUAGUCUUAACCAUAAAACUAUGCCGACUAGGGAUCGGAUGAUGUUAAUUUUAAUGUACU